rnacentral:rRNA from 1 species
GUGGGGAAUAUUGGACAAUGGGGGGAACCCUGAUCCAGCCAUGCCGCGUGUGUGAAGAAGGCCUUUUGGUUGUAAAGCACUUUAAGCGAGGAGGAGGCUACCGAGAUUAAUACUCUUGGAUAGUGGACGUUACUCGCAGAAUAAGCACCGGCUAACUCUGUGCCAGCAGCCGCGGUAAUACAGAGGGUGCAAGCGUUAAUCGGAUUUACUGGGCGUAAAGCGCGCGUAGGUGGCCAAUUAAGUCAAAUGUGAAAUCCCCGAGCUUAACUUGGGAAUUGCAUUCGAUACUGGUUGGCUAGAGAAUGGGAGAGGAUGGUAGAAUUCCAGGUGUAGCGGUGAAAUGCGUAGAGAUCUGGAGGAAUACCGAUGGCGAAGGCAGCCAUCUGGCCUAAUACUGACACUGAGGUGCGAAAGCAUGGGGAGCAAACAGGAUUAGAAACCCCAGUAGUCC